GACGAACGCUGGCGGCGUGCCUAAUACAUGCAAGUCGAACGAGACCGCCCCUUCGGGGGCAAUGGUCGAGUGGCGAACGGGUGAGUAACACGUGAGGAACCUGCCCCGGAGACCGGGAUAACCUUCCGAAAGGAUGGCUAAUACCGGAUGUCCUCGAUGGGUCGCAUGGCCCAACGAGGAAAGAGUCCGCUGCUCCGGGAGGGCCUCGCGGCCUAUCAGCUAGUUGGUGGGGGUAAUGGCCCACCAAGGCAUCGACGGGUAGCUGGUCUGAGAGGACGAUCAGCCACACUGGGACUGAGACACGGCCCAGACUCCUACGGGAGGCAGCAGUAGGGAAUCUUGCGCAAUGGGCGAAAGCCUGACGCAGCAACGCCGCGUGGGGGAAGAAGGCUCUCGGGUCGUAAACCCCUUUCAGCAGGGACGAAAUUGACGGUACCUGCAGAAGAAGGGCCGGCCAACUACGUG
rnacentral:rRNA from 1 species